rnacentral:sRNA from 2 species
CCCUAGCCCUGAUAGAAGUGGAAAUCCUUUUGUGCCGGGGUUCGGCAUAAAAGAUUGGAGUGGAUAGUAGGAAAUAGC